rnacentral:rRNA from 1 species
UACAGAGGUGGCAAGCGUUGUUCGGAAUUACUGGGCGUAAAGGGCGCGUAGGCGGUUCGAUAAGUCCCGUGUGAAAUCCCUCGGCUCAACUGAGGAACUGCACGGGAAACUGCCGGGCUUGAGUUCGGGAGAGGGAAGCGGAAUUCCGGGUGUAGCGGUGAAAUGCGUAGAUAUCCGGAGGAACACCGGUGGCGAAGGCGGCUUCCUGGACCGACACUGACGCUGAGGAGCGAAAGCGUGGGGAGCGAACAGG